CCAGCCUGGCGACCGACAAUCGGACCGGACUUCAUCGACAACCGACUGCAUCGGAUACGGUUUUGUGAUUUCGAUCGAUAGACGUAUAUAUGCAAUACAAACAUAAGCGCGUGCAGUGCUCGAGUGUAUAAAUAAAGGUAUACGAGUCCACUGUUCGCUUGACGCACAAACAAAAAAACGAAAAAAAAAAAAACAUCAAUCGAUCCCGCGGAGCUCUGAUUAAAUUUGAACGCCUCGCACAAUAGGAUUACUAUCAGUGUUGGCAGUAUCAGUUGUUCGACGGAACAGCUUUGAGUUCGUGGACUUGACGUCGUAUAUCUACGUUGAUUAGAUUCAAUGACUUACGAAACGUUACUAUAUUAUAGUACCUACAUUGUGAAUAUAUUAAUUUGUGGUUAAUUAAAUUUCUUUGGUAAU